GUGCUCGGAGCACUGAGUAAAGUUUUAUGACCUCAACCCAUUAAUUAAAUUUUGUAUUUACGCCAGUUGCACGUUUCUUCUACAAAAGACACAUCAGUGACGCUCGAAUCCAAAAAAAUUAAAAAGGUCCAAUGAAGUACUAAGUUGAACAGCAUAAUAAAAAUGUACUUCCUAACAAAAUACAGGGAAUGUUCCAACAGGAACA
rnacentral:lncRNA from 1 species